rnacentral:rRNA from 1 species
CCUACGGGAGGCAGCAGUGGGGAAUAUUGGUCAAUGGGCGCAAGCCUGAACCAGCCAUGCCGCGUGCAGGAGGACGGCCCUAUGGGUUGUAAACUGCUUUUGCAGGGGAACAAACCCCGGUACGUGUACCGGGCUGAGUGUACCCUGAGAAUAAGGAUCGGCUAACUCCGUGCCAGCAGCCGCGGUAAU